rnacentral:pre_miRNA from 13 species
CAUGUUGUUCUGACUGUUUCAAAAGCUUAUAUUGUUCGUUCAAAGUUACUUAUAAGCUCGUGAUCAACAGGCAGGACAACUAU